rnacentral:rRNA from 1 species
UACGUAGGGUGCGAGCGUUAAUCGGAAUUACUGGGCGUAAAGCGCACGUAGGCGGUUUUUUAAGUCAGAUGUGAAAGCCCCGGGCUCAACCUGGGAAUUGCAUUUGAAACUGGCCAACUAGAGUACGUGAGAGGGGGGUAGAAUUCCAAGUGUAGCGGUGAAAUGCGUAGAGAUUUGGAGGAAUACCAGUGGCGAAGGCGGCCCCCUGGCCCGAUAUUGACGCUGAGGUGCGAAAGCGUGGGGAGCAAACAGG